CCAUAUCAUAUCCAGAAAACCAGCUGCAUUGGAAGAAUAACUCACCUCCAUGAAGCUUGAUCAUCAGGCCACCAGGAGCAGAAGCCGGACACUUGGAUCAGCUCAGUAGGACCAGGAUGGCUGCAGACCAGGAGCCUUGGACCUGUAUGCUAGGAAUAGGCUCAGAGCCCAUGAGGGGAAGAGGAAAAGUUCAGGAGUUGGAGAGAAGGCACAAGGCCAGUGUAAGGUCUGGCAGAUUCCGUGACAGUUUGUCAGUUGCUUAAAAGAAAGAGAAACCCUGAUUGGAAUGACUUAUCAACUCACCCUUUUUUCUUUCUUUUUUCUUUUCUCUUUUUGGUGGUUGUGAUUUGAAGUGAUAGUCUAAUAUUAAGGUUCAUAGAUCCCCAUUUCUGAAUGAGGCUAUUUUAUAAGAGAAAAUAAACAGCAGCAGCAGCUUAUAAGUCUAACACCCUGCUCUUGAUCAUCACAAACAGCAUCAAGGCACCAACCAAGAGGCUUUAACUGACAGUUGUUUCACCUCUGACAUUCUAUUGAAAUAGCCCUGAGAAAGUAGCAAAGGCCAAGGAAGCAGGGCAAAAAGCAUUUCAAACAGUUUUUUCAGCAGUUUUAGCUUACAGAGAUU
rnacentral:lncRNA from 1 species